CAAAAUAAAUAAACUUAAAAAAAAAAGUAAAACAAGCAGUGAGCUGAUCUAUGUUCACAGGUGACAUGAUAUUAUAUGUAAAAAACCCUAAACAUUCCACCAAAAACUGUUAAACAAAUUUAGUAAAGUAACAAGAUACAAAAUCAACACACAAAAAUCAGUUUUGUUUCUACAUAUUCAACAAUCUGUAAAAGGAAUUAAGGAAACAAGUCCAUUUGUCAUAGACUCAAAAAGAAUAAAAUACUUAGGAAUAGAUUUAAUCAAGGGGGCAAAGGACUUGUACAUGAAAAACUAUAAAACUUAGCUGAUAGAAAUUAAAGAUAAAUAAAUGGAGAGACAUACUGUGUUUGCAGAUUGGAAGACAUAAUAUUGUUAAGCUAACAAUACUACCCAAAGUGGUCUAGACAUUCAACAUAAUUUGUGACAAAAUCCCAGUGAAAUUGAUAUAUAAAAUAUAUAAUAUGGAAUAUAGUGUGUGUGUGAAAAUAGAAAAACCCAUCCUAAAGUUCAUAUGGAAUCUCAAACAACCCUGAAUAACCAAAACAAUCUUGAAAAAGAAGAAGAUGAAAGACUUGAAUUUCCUGACUUUAAAACUUACUACAAAAGCUACAGUAAUUAAAACAGUGUGGUAUUGAUAUAAAGACAGACAUAUAGACCAAUGGAACAGAAUAGAGAGCCCAUAAAUAACCUUUCAAAUGUAUGGUCAAAUGAUUUUUAACAAGGGAACAAAGACUAUUCAAUGGAAAGGACAGAAUUUUCCACAGAUGAUGCUAGGAAGACUGGAUAUCCACAUCCAAAAGAAUGAAAUUAGAACCUUAUUUUGUACUGUAUUUAAAAAAUUAACUCAAAUGGAUCAAAGACAAUAAAGAGCUAAAACUACACAGCUUUGGGGUGUCUGGCUGGCUCAGUCAGUUAAGUGUCUGACUUUGGCUUAGGUCAUGAUCUCAUGGUUCAUGAGUUCGAGCGCCACUUUGGGCUCUCUGCUGUCAGCACAGAGCCUGGUUUGGAUCCUCUGUCCCCUUUUCUUUCUGCCCUGCUCCUGCUUGCACACACACACUCUCUCUCGAAAGUAAAUAAACACUUAAAAAAUAAGAAUAGAAUAAAGCUAUACAGCUUUUAGAAGAAAACCUUCUUCUUUUAGGGGAAACCUUCAUGACAUUAGAUUUGGCAAUGAUGUCUUGAAUAUGACACCAAAAGCACAGGCAACAAAAGAAAAACUAAAUAAAUUGAGCUCAAUUAAAAUUAAAAACUUUUGUGCAUCAAAUGAUACUAGGAGACUGAAGUGAUAACCCACAGAAUGGGAGGAAAAAAAUGCCAAUCACAUAACUGAUAAGGGAUUAAUAUCCAGAAUAUAUAAAGAAUUCCUAAAACUCAACAACAAAAACCAAAUAACCCAAUUGAAAAAUGGUCAAAGAACUUGACUAGACAUUUCUCUAUAGAAUGUAUACAAAUGGCCAAUAAGCACAUCAAAAAUGCUCAGCAUCACUAGUCAUUAAGGAAAUGCAAAUCAAAAAACCCCAAUGAGAUACCAUUUCAUAACCAAUUAAAAUAGCUAUUAUCAAAAUAAAAAUAAACAGAAAAUAAAUGAUAGAGAGCUUGUGGAGAUAUUGGAGCACUUAUGCAUUGCUUGGUGGCAUGUAAAAUGGUCUAGCUACUAUGGAAAGCGGUUUGGUGGUCCUUCAAAGAGCUAAGCAUAAAGUUACCAUACGAUCCAGCGAUUUCACUCCUGGAUAUGUAUGGAAAGGAAUCAAAAGCAGGGACUCUAACAGAUACUAACAUGUCAACGUUCAUAGUAGCAGUAUUCACAAUAGCCAAAAGGUGGAAACAACCCAAGUCUGCAUCAACAGAGAAUGAACGAAGUAUGGUGUAUACAUAUAACAGACAUUUAUACAUAUAAUAGACCAUAAAAGGUAAUGAAAUUCUGAUAUACACUACAACAUAGAUGAAUCUUGAAGGCAUUUUGCUAAGUGAAAUAAGCCAGAACAAAAGGGCAAAUAUUAUAUGAUUUCACUUAUCUGAGGUACUUAGACUAGACAAAGUCACAGAAACAGAAAGUGGAAUAGAGGUUACCAGCACUGGAUGGGGUGGAUGUGUGGAGAUUUAUUGUUUAUUCAUUUGUUAAUUUUAUGGGAAUUUAUUAUUUAAUGAGUACAGAGUUUCUGUUUAGGGUUAUAAAAAAAAUUGUGGAAAUAGUGGUAAUGGUUGCACAGCAUUGUGAAUUUAUUUAAUGCCACUGAGGUGUACACUUGAAAAUGGCCAAAAAGUAUAUUUUACUAUAAUAGAAAAAUAUAUGGGGGGUGAGGGAAGAGACAGAGAGAGAGAGAGAGAGAGAGAGAGAGACUAAGUUAUCAACGGUGAACGAUUAGAGUGUCCCUCAGUACUACCACUUCCUUCGCCCAAGCUGGCCUGGUACAGACUAUCUCCAAAUGACUUGACAAAUGUUCCCUGGUCAUAAUACCUGCAGACAAUAGGGAAGAAGAAGGGAGAAAGAAAGAUCUCACCCAAUGUCUGACUCUGGCUGGCUCCUGAUUGGAGAGGGGUCUCUGGUUAGGAUACAGGGACACCUAAGGGAUGGAUUUUUGUCUUUCAACCUUGAUAAGUUAAUCCUUCACCUUCUGGAGUUGCCCACUUGCUAUCUCCGCUCCUUUCACAAAGCAACUGUGAAAUGAGGGUCUCAGACCAGACUUAAAGAAGCCCCAUAAGUUUUCAAGACCAUCACAUCCCUCACAGCCCCUGUAUCCAUGCAUCUCUAAAUGAAUCCACAUUUUCCAGUCUUCUGUUUUACCUUUGCCUUAACAUCUAAAUAAUAGGGGUUGAGCAUCCAUUUCAGCACCAUGGGAAGCCAGAGUCUUUCCCAGAGUCCUCUCCAAUAUUUCCCAUGAUCCUGCUUGUGAGUUUAUAUCCUCAUGGCCAUAUUUACCUUCUAAUUCUUGCACUUAGGAAAUUCUUGAUUCUCACUUACAUUUUGCUCCCUACCCCCACACUAGGGCAGCUGUUCUUCCAAACCCCUGUCUUGUCUACUGUUCAGACUACAGCUGAUUUUUCUUCCCCUAGAGCAACAUGAACACACGGCUAUUGUGCUUAACAGACUUUCCCAAGGGCUAGAAAUAGCUAGCUGGUUGGCACAAGGAAGGAAAAAAACUACAUACUGAAGGUCAGACACCACUGUUUCUAGAAACUUGUUGGCCCUUUUCUUAUAGGGAAGAUUUUUCACUGGCCAUGCCCACACUUAGUUGCUGAGGAUCCUUUCUCUGAAGACCCUUUCAACUAUCUACUCUCUUUUAAGGUCCCAACCUUGUGCAAUUUCAAAAUGUCUGUUUAGCAGCUCAUAAAGCAGUCUUACUUUUAACCUCCAGCAUCCCGCUGAACGCUGAGAUCUCCCUUUGCACAUCUAAAAAUCCCUUUAAGGAAUAUUCCUCAACCCCGUUCGGUACACAAAGAACAAGAGAAACUCUGAAAUUACAUCUUCUUUAAAGAAUCACAUCUUUAAUCUUUAAUCACAUCUUCUCUCUAAAUCACAUCUUGGGAAGGCAAGACUUACUCAUCCACAAACCAGAGCCAAUCCCAGAGGCUGUGGAAUUCUCUUCCCAUCACAUGUUCCUUUGGGUUUUAGCAAAACUGGAGAUAGGGACUCAGCCUAGCUGGGGCACUGUAAGGGCUUCCAUGGAUGACAAGGGUUGUUGGGUUAUCUAGACAAAGGUGUUUGGGGCUGUAGACAAGCAAAUGUGCAAUCCUGGGCCCUGAUCACUGUAGGGUGAGCCAGGCAAGAAUACUCAGGGAUGGUGCCCAGUGAGAUCAAGUUCUUGACCUGUCACUUCCUUCUGUGUAUAGAGACUCUUCGGGUAAAGCGAGUCUCAGAUUGUGAUUGAGCAGGUUAUGGAGAAAAGGAAAUUCAUCUGGACUGAAAGGUUCUAGAGGGAAAUGGUGUCAUUGCCAAUGUUGGAAGAAGUAGAACCAGGAGAGAGGCCAAUCUCACUCUGCUUGAGUAAUGAAGACAUUCUGGCAAUGCCACAGGAUGGACACAUGGGAUAGAAUGGAGAAUGCAGAAACAGACCUGUGCAGAUUUAGAACUUUGAAAAGUGACAGAGUUGACAUGGCUGAUUGAGGGGAAAAGGGGAGCUCUUCAACAAACAAAGCUGAAAAAAAUGAUUAUCCAUAUGGGAAAAGAGGAAAUAUAUUCCCUAUCUCACACCAUAUAAAAAUAAACAGUUUCAGAUUGACUUAACUGUCAAAGAGAAAAGUUUAAAAAAACUUUUAACUUUAGAUUUCAAAUCCUAGAUUUAAAAGAACACAUAAAUGAGUAUCUUUUAGACCUUGGGGCAGGGAAAAGUUUGUCAAACAAAUACAGAAAGUGUUAAUCUUAGAGAUAUUAAAACAACAUCAAAUGAAACUUCAUUAAAGAAACUGAAAAGACAAAUUACAAACAGGUUGGCUUAAAGAAUAUACAAAGAACUCCUAUAAGUCAAUAAGAAAAGCAUAAACAGCCCAGUAGAAAAAUGGGCAAGAGACAUGGACAGGCAUUCACAGAAGAGGAAACAUAAAGCCAAUGAACAAACUCAACCUCAUUAGUGAUCAGAGAAGUGCAUCCAUUCAUUUGGAAACUUUAAGAAUUUGAACCAAUGUUGGAGAGGAUGUAGGUCCACACAUCUCUCAUUGCCUAUGGGUGUGUAAAUUGUUACAACUACUUUGGAAAAUCUUCCCAUAUGCCACCACAUAGUAAUUUCACUCCUAGUUACAUAGACAAAUUUUUCACACCCACCAGAAGACAUUUCAUGGCAAUAUUGCUCACAAUAGCAGUGAUAAGAAAAUAGACUGUAACAUGAAUAAUUCAUACAAUAAUAUUAUACAGUGUUCGAAAGGAAUGAACCACUGUGACACACAAUGUGGAUCAACCUUACUAUCAUAUUCAGUGCAAAAGUAAAUCCCAAAAUAUAAUUUAUGACAAUUAUACUCAUUUUACAAAAUUAAAAAAAAAUAAAGUAAAUAUAAGAAUACAUAUAAACUGGAUAAAAUAAUGUAAAAAGGAAAGCAGGAAAUGAUGCUUCUGGAAUUUAGUAUAUUGGUUACAUUACAUUGGUGGAGGAGGCAGGGAGGAUAGGAUGAAGAAAAACCAUGUGCUGGGUGGUAUGUUUCUGGGAGUUUGUCUUUAAAAAUAAAAAUGAAACAAAACAGCAAAGAAACCCAAGUAGGGUUGUGCAUGAAACAAAGAUAAGAGUGUAUCAAGAAAUAAGUAUUAUGAUUAGUACAGUUCAGUGCAACUGAAAUCUACUUAAGGAAAUAAAAGGGGGUGGGGAAAAUUAAGUGUGAUUGUAGUGGAAAAGCUGAGGGUUUCUAAUGAGAAGAUCCCAGUGUGUAACUUUGGGAAAGUAGUGUAAUCACUCAGAGGCUCUGAUUCCUGCUCCAUACGAUGGGUGAGAGUACCAAACGCUACACCAAAUAGGUUUGUUGUGAGGGUUAAUAAGAACCUGAAUAUGAAAGCCAUGUGUCUGUCCAGUGCCCAAAACUGCACCAACAGUGUCUGCCUCUUGACGUUCCCCUCUGCUGUGCACACAAUCCGCACAUUUGUGUGCUUGAAGAUUAGGGUAUAGCGGAUACUAGGGACACCUUAAUGAGAAGUCACAGAAGAUCAAUAAUCAGAAUGAGGGGAAGCAAGGGUAGCCCAGCUCCUCUGUCUGGGUGAUAAUUAGGUUGGGGAUUUGGAGGCUGAUUAAACAUAUCAAAGCCUGUGUUUUUUCUCAAGAGUGAAGCGCCCCCCUACCUCCUCCUUUAUAAUCUUUUGUAUCUCAGCAAUGCCCUGGUGGUGAUGUCAGUCAGAAAGUACUUUGUUUUUUAAUUUCAGGUUUUAGAGGCAGCUUAGCAUGGUGGAAUACACAUAAGCUUCUGUAGCAGAUUGCUAGGGCUUCCUCAUUUCUGAUUUUCCUCUUUCCUGAACACAGAGGAGUCAGGUGGGGGCAUGUGAGUGAUCUGUUCACAGAAUAUGGGUGGAAGUGACACCGUCCCGUCAUGUUCACGUCUAGCCGUGGAAGCUCCGCACAACCUUCCAGCCCCCUCUUCCUCCGAUAGACGGAUCGUAAAGGCCACACGUCAGGGUGGAGGAAACCAGAUGGAAAGAGAAAGCGUUGCUGAAUGGCGUCAAGGAGGGCAGCAACUCUGGAAAGACGCUCAGACCUGUAGCAGCUUUUGGAUGGGGAUGCUAUGGGGUUCCACGGAGGCUAUCACAAAGGGAAGCAUCCAGCUCAGCGCAAAGUACAUGGCAAUAGUCCUUCCGGAUGAAUAGAAUCUGAAAUGUGAAUUUCCAAGGAAGAGGCAGGACCACCCACUGGGACAGCAUCAUCCCGAUGACCACAGCUCGUUUAUGGCAUGUUGGUAUCAUCCCUCUUUCUUCUUCCUUCCUGGAAGCUCCUCAGUCUCCCUGUGUCUCUGUGGUUCCAUGUAAUGGACGUGCUGACUUUGUGUUUGAGGGAGUUGUUCCUUGGUCCCUGGGAAUGGAUUUUGGAGUCAAAGUAAGAAUACCUUUUCCUUCAGCUUGGGUUUCUUGGCAUGGUUACGGGAGGUUGGUCAAGUGGGAGUGGUCAAGGACAGGCUAAGGGGCCUUGCAGCUCUAAAGACCACACCUACAGCCAGCAUGUAGGAUUCAAAUCAGGAUAAAGGUGCUGGGGCUGGAGAGGACCACAUUGUGCCAUCUAUCCCCACCAGGGACUCUUCUCCAGCCAGUUAACUCUUCAUUUGUGAAAUGUGGAUAACCACACCCAUCUGGCAAGGUCUUUGCACAGACUUGAGAAAAUGCCUGACACAUAUCAGGCCCUCGGUAACUGAUUUUGAUGAUGUCUGUGUGUCGAGUACCAAAGGUAGUGCUGGACACUGUACAUAGUAGGCUUGCCCGACUCCUGCUCUCAGAUAUCUGGUAGGGGUGACGCAGCACAGGUGUCCUCACUUUCAUGUGUCAACACCUUAAUAGGGGAAGACAACAGUUAGGUCCCCCCAGGAUGUCUUUUCUCCAGGCUAACAUAUAGCUGGCUCCUCAGCUGUUGUUCACUUGAACUGGUCCUCUCCCUACUCUGCCCAUAUGUUUGAGAUGAGCCCAAAUGUGUCAGUGCCCUCCUUAAGAUGGGAACCUGGAACUUAACACUGUUCUUCAUGAGAAAGAUCACCAGGGAAGUCCCCAUGUUUUAUUACAGACCCAUUGGAAGUUAAUACCAAGCACACUAAAUGACUUACUCCAGAGAUGCACAGUAAGAUUUCUGGAGAUAGGGGACUCAGUGAAUAAACAAAAAAUACAUUUCCUCACAGGAGGUAGGGAGGCUUCUGGGGUUCUAGAAUACUCUACUCCUUUUUUAAAAUAUUUUUUUAAAGUUUAUUUUGAGAGAGAGCAAGAAACAACAGGAGGUGUGGGACAGAGAGAGAGAGAGAUUUCGAAGCAGGCUCUGCACUGUCAGCGAGGAGCCUGAUUUGGGCCCAAACCCACAAACUGUGAGAUCAUGACCUGAGCAGAAACCAAGAGCCCAGUGUUAACCGACUGAGUCACCCAGGUGUCCCUAGAAUGUUCCAUCUCUUGACCUAGGUGAUGGUUACAUGAGUUAUCCAUUUUUUAACAUUUAUUUAUUUAUUUUUGAGAGAGAGAACCAGCACAGGAGGAGGAGGAGGGGGAGGAAGAGGAUGAGGAAGAGAGAGAGAGAGAGGGAGAGAGAGAGAGAGAGAGAGAAAGCAGGGGAAGGACAGAGAUAGAAGGAGAGAGAAAAUCCCAGGCAGGCUCCAUGCUAUUGGUGUAGAGCCCCAUGUGGAGCUCGAACUUACCUGAGCUGAAAUCAAGAGUCAGAUGCUUAACUGACUGAGCCACCAAGGAACCCUAAGGUAUUCAUUUUUUGAAUAAUUCAUUGAGCUAGACAUUUUUUUGAGCUGAACAUUUUAAAAUAACAGUUUUAUUGAGAUACAAUUCACAUAUCAUAGAAUUCAUCCAUUUAAAUUUUACAAUUUAAUAGUUUUUAGUAUAUACAGAUAUAUACAAUCACUUACUAUGGUCAAUUUUAGAAACUUUUCAUCACCACUAAAAGAAACUGUACCCUUUAGCUAUCACCUUCCUAUAGCCCCCUCCUUCUCAGACUUAAGCAAUUACUAAUCUACUUUCUGUCUCUGUAAAUUUUCCUAUUCUUCACAUUUAGUAUAAAUGGUAUAUAAUAUGUGGUCUUUUGCAACUGGCUUUUUUCAUUUAGCAUAAUAUUUUCAAGAUUCAUCUGUAUUGUGGCACAAAUCAGUACUUUAUUUUUUUUUUUUUAUGGCCAAAUAUUAUUCCAUUGUGUGGAUAUACCACUUUUAUUUAUCAAUUCAUCAGCUGGUAGAUAUUUGGGUUGUUUCCACCUUAUGGCCCUUAUGAAUAAUGGGCUAUAAGAUUAAUGUGCAAGUGUUUGUGUAGAAAUGUUUCCAUUUCUCGUGGGUAUGCACCGAGGAGUGGAAGUGUUGGGUCAUAUGAUAACCCUUUGCUAAACUUUUUGAGAAACUGCCAGAAAACAAUUUCCACAGGGGGUGCACAAUUUUACUUUCCCACGAGCAGCAUAUGAGGGUUUUGACUGCUCCACACCCUCACCAAUACUUGUUGUUAUCUGUCUUUUUGAUUAUAGCCAUCCUAGUGGGUGUGUGGUGGUAUCUCGUUGUGGUUUCAUUUGCAUUUCCCUGAUGACUAAUUAUCUUGAACAUUUUGAUUUAUGUACUUUUCUUAAUAUACGUCCUACUUUAAUAAAAAAAAAACAGUGUAUUUUUAAAAUACACUCGCUUCUUGACCCCUGAUACCCAGAAAAAUUGCUCAGUUCUGAAAAUACGGAACCCAGAACUUCUGGAGGCUAGAGAUUUUGCAUCUCCCAGAUGGAAUUCACCUCUGGGGGUAACCAAGUCAUUUUGGGACCAAGCUAGACUGGAGCUGCUCUCUUUCCCAGUAAGAAAUUUCCCCUGGAUCAUACACAGAAAGGCGCCAAAUGUACCUGUGUACAGGUAUGUAUUUUUCCCCUUAUACUCAGGUCAACUCAGGUUGUGAAAUGGAGUGGAAGGCUUGUAUUCAGACAUGGGUCAGCUAUCUGAAAGACUAUGUGGCACUGGACAAGGACUUGAGUCCUUGUCUCUUCAUCAAGGCACAAAGUCCAGGACAAGAAGAUUGAUGCACUUGAUCCAGACAUGGAACUUGAGAAGAGAAUCAUCCCUAGAUCAAAUGAAAGGUGAAGCAGACACGAUGAGCAGGUGCCCAGCCGGGCUGGACUCUGUUCACCUGUUUGACGUAUACUGGUUCUGACUUCAAAGGUGUUGAGUGAGGUGGUAAGAGCUUGGGCUUUAGAGUGAUGGGUUCUGGCUCUGCCACUUACUAAGACUGGGCAAGUGACUUAAUCAUGAAGAACCUCAGUCUCUUCAGCUAUAAAUUAGAGAUCAUAACUCCCACCCUGCAGGAUUGCUAUGAUGAGAGAUAACAUAUGAAGAGUAACUGGAUUAUAAUAGAUACUCAAUAAGUGGUAAUUAUUAAAAUCAUUACAUUUUCUGCUAUAAAUUCAAAAAGUACUUAUUGAACAUUUACUCUAUUCACCCAUCUUUUCAAACAUCGAUUCAUUCCAAAAACAUUUCUGAGCUCAAGAUUAUGCUGAGGUCAGUGAGGGGUCCUACCGAGAAAUAGAAAGCAGGCUCCUUGAGUACAAGAAACUCAAACUUUGACUGGAAAAUAAUAAAUUAGAAAAGAAUAGAAUUAUAAAAUGGAAGCCAUCACACCUUCUUGACUGUGCUGUGGGAGUUAAGUGGGUAAGCCUGCAAGCUUGGCGUCUGGCCCCAGGCAGACUUAAUGGGUAGCCCGACUAGAGUUGUAUCUUACAUGGGGAGAGAGGCAGAGUCAGCCAAUCUACUAUGCAUCUUGGAAGCAUGGGUUUUAGGUCCCCUCACCUAGAAGGGCUUCUUCCAAGGCUCUGUACCUAAUUUUGUUUUUCUUGUCUAGAGAGGCCCCCCCCCCUCCACAAAUUGCAUAAACUUCAAGACCCACAAACCCUGGAUUAUCUCUCAUGGAGGACUGAGUUUUAAAGUCAGAAGAUAAAGUAGGAACUGACAAGCUCAUGUCUCGCAGCAUGCUCUUGGAAAGCACACAGGAGAAGUGAAGAAUCAGGAUUCCCUGAGAUCUGAAAGGAAGGUAUGAAUCAAGUCAAGCUGAACAGUGGAGCAAGAAUUUGAAAGUUGGAAGCUUCUUGGACUAAGAAAAGAUAAAAGUGCCAGGUGGUGAGGAAUGUGAGGGCAGGGAACUAUACUUUAAACAGAAUACUCAUACAAUUUUCACAUUACAUGUGCAAGAAUAGUGUAUAAUGCAUAAUGGUGGAACCAUGUUUGGAGUCACACUGAUCUGGGCUCUACUUAUUUGAACUCCAUGACUUAGGACAGGUCAAGGAACAUCUUAGAAUUUCAGUUUCAUUUGUAAAUCAUAAUAGUAAUACUUAUCUCGAAAGUAUUACUUUUGGAAUUUUAAGUUAUAAAAUUAGGGAGAUAUUUUUCUGAAAAUGAUUUGUAAACUGUAAAGAGUUCUGUUUACCAAUAUUGGUUCUAAUUCAUUUUGCUCACACUGUAGAAAGAAUGUCCUUGUUCACCAACCUGAUAAUAGUGGAAGGACCCUUAGGGGGAAAACAAACAAAGAAACAAACAAACCCAGCUCUGGUACUCUCAGAGUAAAAGCUCCAGCUUAUUACAUACUUGUGAGCAAUUCCCUAAUUUCUCCAAUCCUCAGUUUCUCUAUCUAAAUCAUGAAAGUUAUUAUACUUUGCCUUUAAACACCAGUGAGGUAAUAUCUUGAUCAGAUUUAUCUUUAAGUUCCUUGGGAGGAAAUAAAUGAAAAUAUCCAAUUCACUUUCCUUAUUCGGACCUUUACUAGAAUUUGGAAAGGAGACUCUCUCAAGCCUUUGAGCAAUGGGGAAGACCGCUGAGUGCCACAACCCACCUUGGGCUGGACUGUAAUGAGAAGGACAAUUGAUUGAGUGCUAGCUGUUGGACAUAUGGUUUUGCCUCAGCCUCGUAACAGGCUAGUAUGUUUGACAUUACGGCUUAUAUUAUACAGAUGAGGAAAAUGGGGCUCAGAAUAUUUGAGCAAAUACUUCAGUUCCCACCUCUAGUAAAUGGAGGAGCAGAACGUCAGACCCAGAUCAAUGCUGGAACCUCCUUUUCCUGGUGUCCCCAGUUGACCUGCAGCUCCUUUGUGUCCAGGACAAGGAGGAUUGAACCUAUGUUCUACAGGAAGUCAGGCCUGUGACAGGUAAGAUGACAUGAGGCUAAGCCUCUUGUAGACUCUGGCACAGUGUGAAAUUGCUAGUUAUUAUUUUUAAAGCAGAGAGAAACUUUCCACCCAUGCUCUUACAGAGGCAGUUGGCUUCAAGGUCUGAUGGUUUUUGUCACCCUUGCCUUUUCUAGAUCAGUGUCCAAAGUAAGAGACUCUGUCUUCCUGUAUGUUGUGGCUGUUUCUGUUAAGCAGUGUCUUCAAAGGUCUAAUGAAGGAGGCCACCAUGGUGCCUGCAUGUCACAGAAAGAAUGUGGGCUCACAUCUUCACAAUGGCAGAGAUAGGUACAAAAGCAAAGACCACAUCAAUUUUGGAGCAUUUCCACCUGUGAUGUUUGACAUCCUUCAGGCACGGUCUGAGAGAGGGACUGGACCAGCAUCUUCUGAACAUUGUAUUGUGGGGGAAAGACACAGAUAUGAGGAGCUCUUCCCCCUGCAGAUACACCUGUGGCAUGAGCCACCCUUCCCCCAUCCCCUAAGGCAGAGUCUCCUCUCCAUCCCGUGCACACCCUUGUUGGUUUAUAGGUCCCCACUAUUAGAUGAGUAAUAAACAGUGGGAUAUAAGCUUCCCUUCUGGCCAAUCCCAAAGCUAAAGUAACAUGUUCAAACACCCUGUUAUUAUUAUUACCAAUGAUAAUAAGAGGAAUAAUGAGCAAGAAUUGCUUUUAUUAAAUAAAUCAGGAAAAUGCACUUUACAACA